GGGCCCGUAGCUCAGUGGUUAGAGCAGUCGGCUCAUAACCGAUCGGUCGCAGGUUCGAUCCCUGCCGGGCCCACCA
rnacentral:tRNA from 2 species